GGCCGUGUGGCAAAAUGGUUACUGCGUUGCUUUCCGAUGAGUGCGCUCCUUGCGUAAUCUAAGGCAGAGACUGUGGGUUCGAGUCCCACCAUGGUCG